rnacentral:SRP_RNA from 1 species
GCCAGGCGUGGUGGCAUAUGCCUGUAGUCCCAGCUAUUUGGGAGGCUGAGGUGAGAGGAUUGCUUGAGCCCAGGACACCAAGGUUGUAGUGAGCCAAGAUCACACCACUGCACUCUAGCCUGGGCAACAGAGUGAGAUCUUGUCUCCA